UAAGUAUAAGCAAUUAUACCGUGAAACUGCGAAUGGCUCAUUAAAUCAGUUAUCGUUUAUUUGAUAGUACCUUACUACUUGGAUAACCGUGGUAAUUCUAGAGCUAAUACAUGCUGAAAACCCCAACUUCGGGAGGGGUGUAUUUAUUAGAUAAAAAACCAACGCCCUUCGGGGCUUCUUGGUGAUUCAUGAUAACUUCACGGAUCGCAUGGCCUUGCGCCGGCGACGGUUCAUUCAAAUUUCUGCCCUAUCAACUUUCGAUGGUAAGGUAUUGGCUUACCAUGGUUUCAACGGGUAACGGGGAAUUAGGGUUCGAUUCCGGAGAGGGAGCCUGAGAAACGGCUACCACAUCCAA
rnacentral:rRNA from 1 species